AUGGCAGCCACAGUGUCCCAGACAGCAGCUCAGCCUCCAGGACUCUUUUCCAGCACGGCCAAAGACACCUCUUCACACAAGAUGGUAGCAACAAAUCGCAGGAGCAAUCACACCAAAUUCACAGAAGAUCAACUGAAAAUCCUUAUCAAUACCUUCAAUCAAAAACCUUACCCAGGUUAUGCUACCAAACAAAACCUUGCUUUAGAAAUCAAUACAGAAGAGUACAGAAUCCAGAUUUGGUUUCGGAAUCAAAGAGCUAGGAAUGGAUUCCAGAAAAGACCAGAACCAGAGACUUUAGAUUCAAGCCACAGCUAUGGGCAAGAUCAACCUGGUGUGGAGUUUCAAAGUAGAGAAGCCAGGCAGUGUUGUACCACCUAUAGCACCUCUCAGUUACUCACUCUCAUCAAGGCAUUUAUGAAAAAUCCAUACCCUGGGAUUGAUUCCAGAGAACAACUUGCUGAAGAAAUUGGUGCUCCAGAGUCCAGAGUCCAAAUUUGGUUCCCAAAAUUGAAGAUCUAGAUUUCAUCUCCAGAGAAAAGGGAACCUAUUAUGUCCUUAGAACAAGAAGACCAGGGGCAAGGUUUCUGAGGGACUUCAAGGUACAGAAGAUACACAAAAUGGCACCAACCUCACUAGCACUCUCAUUUCUCUAGAGCCAGAACAUGGUGAACACAGUCAAGUUCAGUGUAUUGGAUAUUAUCAACUUGGGCCCUAAAUCUCUCUCACAGUCUUCCUGGGAGUCUAUCCUUCUGCUGAAAGUGCAAGUUAAGCUUUCUGAAGAUGGUAAAGAACUUGGCCGGGUGUGGUGGCUCACGCUUGUAAUCUCAGCACUUUGGGAGGCUGAGGCAGGAAGAUUGCUUGAGCUCAGGAGUUCGAAACCAGUCUGGGCAGCAUAGUAAAACCCUGUCUCUAUU